AGUGAACGCUGGCGGUAGGCCUAACACAUGCAAGUCGAACGGCAGCACAGUAAGAGCUUGCUCUUACGGGUGGCGAGUGGCGGACGGGUGAGGAAUACAUCGGAAUCUACUUUUUCGUGGGGGAUAACGUAGGGAAACUUACGCUAAUACCGCAUACGACCUACGGGUGAAAGCAGGGGAUCUUCGGACCUUGCGCGAUUGAAUGAGCCGAUGUCGGAUUAGCUAGUUGGCGGGGUAAAGGCCCACCAAGGCGACGGUCGGUAGCUGGUCUGAGAGGAUGACGACCGCCUGGGAAAGGGAGACGCGGCAGAGGGUCCGAGGGACGGCAGAGGCGGGGAAUGGUGGAAGAUGGGGGGAAGCUUGCACAAGCGGUGGCGGGUGGAUGAAGCAGCGCUGCGUGUGGGAAGACCGUUUUGGGGUGAAAAAACGCCAGCAGGAGAGGCCCAGCUUGUGGUGACGGUACCUAAAGAAGAAGCACCGGCUAACUUCGUG
rnacentral:rRNA from 1 species